AGUGAACGCUGGCGGUAGGCCUAACACAUGCAAGUCGAACGGCAGCACAGUAAGAGCUUGCUCUUACGGGUGGCGAGUGGCGGACGGGUGAGGAAUACAUCGGAAUCUACUUUUUCGUGGGGGAUAACGUAGGGAAACUUACGCUAAUACCGCAUACGACCUACGGGUGAAAGCAGGGGAUCUUCGGACCUUGCGCGAUUGAAUGAGCCGAUGUCGGAUUAGCUAGUUGGCGGGGUAAAGGCCUACCAAGGCGACGAUCCGUAGCUGGUCUGAGAGGAUGGUUCCAUACAUGGGCUGUGAGGCACAUCCGCCACACUGGGACUGAGCCACGGCGCAGACUCUUACGGGAGGCGGCAGUGGGGAAUACUGGAAAAUCGCCGAAAGCCUGAUCGAGCACUGCUGGGUGAGUGCUGAAGUCGGUAGGGUUGUAAAGCUCUUUUACCCGGGAUGAUAAUGACAGUACCGGGAGAAUAAGCACCGGCUAACUCCGUG
rnacentral:rRNA from 1 species